rnacentral:rRNA from 1 species
GACGAACGCUGGCGGCGUGCUUAACACAUGCAAGUCGAACGGAAAGGCCCUGCUUUUGUGGGGUGCUCGAGUGGCGAACGGGUGAGUAACACGUGAGUAACCUGCCCUUGACUUUGGGAUAACUUCAGGAAACUGGGGCGAAUACCGGAUAGGAGCUCCUGCUGCAUGGUGGGGGUUGGAAAGUUUCGGCGGUGGGGGAUGGACUCGCGGGUUAUCCGCUUGUUGGUGGGGUAGUGGCUUACCAAGGCUUUGACGGGUAGCCGGCCUGAGAGGGUGACCGGCCACAUUGGUACUGAGAUACGGCCCAGACUCCUACGGGAGGCAGCAGUGGGGAAUAUUGCACAAUGGGCGGAAGCCUGAUGCAGCAACGCCGCGUGCGGGAUGACGGCCUUCGGGUUGUAAACCGCUUUCGCCUGUGACGAAGCGUGAGUGACGGUAAUGGGUAAAGAAGCACCGGCUAACUACGUG